rnacentral:rRNA from 1 species
CCUACGGGAGGCAGCAGUGAGGAAUAUUGCACAAUGGAGGAAACUCUGAUGCAGCAACGCCGCGUGGAGGAUGACGCAUUUCGGUGUGUAAACUCCUUUUAUUAGGGAAGAUAAUGACGGUACCUAAUGAAUAAGCACCGGCUAACUCCGUGCCAGCAGCCGCGGGUAAUACGGAGGGUGCAAGCGUUACUCGGAAUCACUGGGCGUAAAGGACGCGUAGGCUGUUUUGCAAGUCAGAUGUGAAAUCCAAUGGCUCAACCAUUUGAACUGCAUUUGAAACUGCUAGACUAGAGUAUGGGGAGGGGGAGGAUGGGAAUUAGUGGUGUAGGGGGUAAAAUCCGUAGAUAUCACUAGGAAUACCUAAAGCGAAGGCGAUCUCCUGGAACAUUACUGACGCUAAGGCGUGAAAGCGUGGGGAGCAAACAGGAUUAGAUACCCUGGUAGUCCACGCCCUAAACGAUGAACACUAGUCGUCGGGAUGCUUGUCAUCUCGGUGAUGCACUUAACAGGUUAAGUGUUACCGCCUGGGGAGUACGGUCGCAAGAUUAAAACUCAAAGGAAUAGACGGGGACCCGCACAAGUGGUGGAGCAUGGGGUUUAAUUCGAAGAUACACGAAGAACCUUACCUGGCCUUGACAUGGUAGGAACCCUUAAGAGAUUAGGGGGUGCUAGCUUGCUAGAACCUACACACAGGUGCUGCACGGCUGUCGUCAGCUCGUGUCGUGAGAUGUUGAGUUAAGUCCCGCAACGAGCGCAACCCUCGUCGUUAGUUGCUAACAGUUUGGCUGAGCACUCUAACGAGACUGCCUUCGUAAGGAGGAGGAAGGUGAGGACGACGUCAAGUCAUCAUGGCCCUUACGGCCAGGGCUACACACGUGCUACAAUGGGGCGUACAAAGAGCUGCAAUACCGCGAGGUGGAGCCAAUCUCUUAAAGCGUCUCUCAGUUCGGAUUGUUCUCUGCAACUCGAGAACAUGAAGCUGGAAUCACUAGUAAUCGUAGAUCAGCUAUGCUACGGUGAAUACGUUCCCGGGUCUUGUACUCACCGCCCGU